ensembl:lncRNA
CAUCAGGGCUGGGCGGGGCCAGAGGGGGAGGAACUGUCAGGAUUGGGCGGGGCCAGAGAGAGCUGGGGUGGGAAGGUGACCUCAGGGUUAGGAGAGAGCCAGAGGGAGCUUCCAGAGGAGGAGCUGUGAGGGCUGGGCCUUGAAUCCUACUUGAUGGGUGAGGGGCAGCAGGCAAAGCAGGGCACAUGAGGGUCCAUCAGCCACGGACCAGGGACAGAGGUUCAGAAGCAGUCUGCCAGGCCGUGAAAUCCUCAAACAUCAGUUGCCACGAUGCCAUUCUUCCACAGUUCAGACUGUUCCAUUCACUCACUCACUCACUAAAUACAUAUUGAGCACCUGUUCUUUGCCAGACGUUGGAUACAGUACAGAAGACAGUGAGCAUCCUUGUCCUCAAGAGCCUUAUGUCCUAAGAGAAGGGCAAAGAUACAGAGCUCUGGAGGCCAGCCUGCCUCACUCAGGAAGCCCCCAGGGCUCUGAGUUGCUGGACCUGAUUGGCUGGGUCACCCACGUCGUUUCCCUCAUUGGCUGACUGCCAGUGAUCAGCACCUGUCCUCUCCUUUCUGUCUGGAUCAGAUCUGCUUCAUGGAAGACCCCUAGGGUAGCAGUGCUGGCUGGAAAAUGUAUGGAAGGGAGAGGGCCUAGAAAGAGCUGUUGCCUGGACCAGGAUAAUGUAGUGGGGUUAGAGAGAGACCGAUGGGUUCCACAUGUUACGGAAGGUAGAUUAACCAAGCUCUCAUACAAUCCUCCCAAAUAGUAAUAAUAUCAUUCCCAUUUUACAGAUAAGAAAACUGAGGUUCAGAGAAACUAAACUAUGUGUCCAAAGUCACACAGCUGAGUAGGUGAUUAAUGGAAUCUGGAGUGGGAGUUGCUGUGGAUGGCCCAGGUCUCUGGACAGGCUGAUUCCUAAGAUGGGAAGCACAGGCAGGGAGUGCAUUCAGCAAGAGGAGGCGGCUGACAUCCAGGCCCAUCACAACCUGACCCACGACCUGGGGUCUGGCCUUGUCCCAUUCAUCUCCUGUCCCUCUUGGACGUCUUUAUGUUUCAGUCUUUGGCUCUUCUGUCAAGGCCUCCCCCUUAAUCCUGAGAUCAUCCCUGAGGAGGCAGCCUGAGGUCUGUCAGCAGAGAGGGCUGCAGGACGUUAGUCCUACGCGGAGCGCCCGGUGUCUGAAAGGUCUGACACCGUACUCACUGGAUUCAAAUCCUAGCUCUUCUGCUCAGUAGCUAUGUGACCUUGGAUAACUGACUUAAUCUCUCUGUGUCAUGGUUUCCUGACUUGUAAAUUGUGGAUGAUGAUAGCAUCUGCUUCGGGGUUUUGAUGAUUGAACAAGCACGUACCCAUAAAGUAGGAGACUUUUAUGCACUCAGUAAGGAUCGGCUAUUAUCAUUCCUACUAAUUUUAUAUAAUUAUUAUUGGAUUAACUGAGCCCUCUUAGCUGAGCUCGAGGCUCAACUCUCCUGCCCUGUGAUACUUCAAGCUCCUCCACAGACUGGAGCCCUUACCUGACUCUCAGCCCUCCUGGCCAGACCCUGACCCUGUUGUCCCCUUAACAAGAAACAUGUACUUUGCCCCCACAAGCCCAUCUCAGCCAUGGAUCUCAGGUGCGUCUGGAUGCCUAAUCCCAGCUUAGGUGCUGCUUGCCCCUGACUGCCUGGGUCCAGCCUGCUGAACCUCAGAAACCUCCAUCCUCAGCCCUCCCUGAAGCCCACUGUAGCUUGGGCAUCAGGCAGCUGGCCAGCCCUUCAGCCAGCCUUCCACGCCCACAGUGACCUGUGCCGUGUGCAGAAUCUAACCUCACAUCCCACCCAAGCCCUCUGGCAGUAGCAGGAUGAAGAUGAGAAUGUCAGAGAGAGAAAAUCUGAAACAAGCCUCGGGAAUGCACGUCAUCCUCUGCUUGUCUGCGUCCAGGGGCAGCCUCACUCUACAUCCUUAGUCGAGGGGUGGUCAACAACAUGGCUUCAGUUUGAGCAGGAGUGCGGAGGUCCAGGAACUGUGCCAACAUGAGAUCGGGAAAUUACAGAUUCAUUGUGUGCCACUCCCUUCUAGAACGUGAGCCCCAGUGGAGCAAGCACAUGCCUUCCUUAUUCACUCCUUAGUGUCCAUAGUAGAUGCUCAAGAAACACUUGCAGAAUGAAUGAGGCAAACAGAGUUGCUCCUGCACUGUCUGCUUCCUACCCCCUUCCAUCCAGGCUUGGGCACUGUUUUUGUUUUUGCUUAAGAUUUUAUUUAUUUAUUUAUUCAUGAGAGAUACACAGAAAGAGGCAGAGACACAGGCAGAGGGAGAAGCAGGCUCCCUGUGGGGAGCCUGACUCAGGACUUGAUCCCAGGACCCCAGAAUUAUGAUCUGAGCCAAAGGCAAACUCAACUACUGAGCCACCAAGGAACCCCAGGGCACCAAUUUUUUAAGGAGAGUGGCAACUUGGCCAUGGCCACACCAUGGGUGUGGCACCAGGACCAGGGGAGAAGAGGCAAGCUUCUAGCCCUUUGAUGCCAGGGCUGAAGUAAUUGAUAAUGACACCUAAACAUUUAUUGGAAAUUGUUCUGGGCCAGGGGCUAGGCACUGUCAGCCUAAAUUAGCAUCUUCCACCUGCCCAAGCAUACAAGGUAGGUAUUACUAUUAUUAUUUUCCCAUUUUGUAGACGAAGAAGGAAGGCACUGGGUGAUGAACAACAGCCCAAAGUCACAAGGCGUUCCGUGGCAGCACUAGCCUUGAAGCCAGGUGGCAGCAGGGUCUGGACUUGGCACCUCUCUCUGCUGCUCUACUGCCUCCCUCCUCUCCGGCCCCAUCCCCAGUUUCGGAGGGUUUUAGCUUUUUUCCCCACUCUGCUUGCAGCUUUGGGGAAGGCUGACCAAGGCCUUCUAUUGUCAGUAGAUUGAGUUUCUGCCCCAGCCUCUCAUUUACCAGCCAUAUGACCUGGGGGAAAUGAUGCCACGUUCCUCAGUCUGCUGUUCUAUAAGAUGGGGAUAAGGGAAGCCCUUCUGUGGGGCUGUCCCGCAGAUUCAAAAGGCAGCAGAGGGCGGACUACAGAACAGGUCCUAAUUCUUUCCUCCCAGUUGUGAGAUGUUACUUCCCUUUUGGCUCUAGCACAGGGCGAAUAUGGGCUUUGGGACUUGAAAAGCGCAAAGAAUGUCCCAAACACUGGGAAACACUGAACUCUAAAGCCUGUGCUUUGGGUGGUCAUCACGCCCACCCUGGGGGAAGGCCUGACCUCACAGGGGCCUUUGCUGUUUUCAUUUUAUUAGUAGGACUUGAAACAGAGUUCCAUUCCCAGGGAAAACUCUCCUGAAAGCAGAAAUAAAAACAGAACGCCCCCUCUCUGCUAGAGGGGU